CGGCCGGGCUGGCGGCGUUGCCGGCCUUGGACACCCGGAGAGCUGCCCGGAGCUGACCUUCCUGCCGGCCGCGCUCUGACGGCCCCCGGUUCUGCCUUCCUUGCCGAGGUCCCCGCUGCCGGGCUCCGGCCCCAGGUAAUACCCUU
rfam:Myotis davidii contig24332, whole genome shotgun sequence.